CAUUCUCCAUACAGUAGAGAGAGGCAAUGGACUAGCGAUGUUCAUUGCACCCGGAGCAGACGUUUACAAAGGUCAGAUAGUUGGCAUUCAUCAGAGACCUGGUGACCUAUCACUGAAUGUGUGCAAGAAGAAGGCUGCAACAAACGUUCGCUCAAACAAAGAACAGACGGUGGUUCUAGAUACACCACAAGAUUACAGUCUUGACGACUGUAUUGAGUACAUUCAGGAGGAUGAACUUGUGGAGGUAACCCCGGCAAGUAUCCGAAUGUGUAAGAACCUGAAGAUGGCAAAGAAAGGUAGGUGAAAGUAAGUGUCAUCCGCACCUCAAGGCUGAGGACAUACACCACACCACAUCAAUGUCACAGAUGAAGAUGAGGUUUUGGUUCAAAAAUCUGAUUUUCGAGUUUGAGGUCAACAUUGUAUUUAUAAUU